rnacentral:rRNA from 1 species
UUUCGAACGCACAUUGCGGUCCACGGAUACAAUUCCCGGACCACGCCUGGCUGAGGGUCGUU